UGCCAGCCGCCGCGGUAAUACGGAGGGUGCAAGCGUUGUUCGGAUUUACUGGGCGUAAAGGGCGCGUAGGCGGUUUUCCAAGCCAAGGGUGAAAUCCCGGAGCUCAACUCCGGAACUGCUCUUGGAACUGGGAGACUAGAGACAAGCAGAGGCAGGUGGAAUUCCAGGUGUAGAGGUGAAAUUCGUAGAUAUCUGGAGGAACACCGGUGGCGAAGGCGGCCUGCUGGGCUUGUUCUGACGCUAAGGCGCGAAAGCGUGGGGAGCAAACGGGAUUAGAUA
rnacentral:rRNA from 1 species